AGAAUUCUGGGUGCUGUAGUUUGUUAAGGAUGCCGAGUGGAAAAGCAGUCUCUUCUUAACAAUGCCUAGCACCCUUAACAAACUACAGCUCCCAGAAUUCU